UACGUAGGGUGCGAGCGUUGUCCGGAAUUAUUGGGCGUAAAGAGCUCGUAGGCGGUGUGUCGCGUCGGCCGUGAAACCUGACAGCUUAACUGUGGGCUUGCGGUCGAUACGGGCAUCACUGGAGUUCGGCAGGGGAGACUGGAAUUCCUGGUGUAGCGGUGAAAUGCGCAGAUAUCAGGAGGAACACCGGUGGCGAAGGCGCUCUGCUGGACCAUAACUGACACUCAGGGACGAAAGCUAGGGAGCGAAUGGG
rnacentral:rRNA from 1 species